UCAAUUUCUUCAGCCAUAAAUAUUAUCUUAUUUCAGUCUGCUUAGCGCUUUCUUCUGCGGCCACAUUUGGGGAGAGAACGUUGACACACGCGUGUGCACAUGUUGCUUGUGCACAGUGCUGCUUUUUCUACGCACCGUUCAGUGUGCCGUGUAGUCUAGAAAACCAGUGUUAAGACUUAUUUUACCAAAGCACUUACUAUCAAAACUGGUGUCUAUGAUUUGAUGUCCUCUUAUUGAUCGACUUUGGAAGUCUUUUCUGACACGCUGACUAGCCAGAAAGUUUGUGUCUUUAUAGUAAAAACAACAACAAAGAAAAACCCUCUAACGUCUCUUAUUGAAUGGACUUCUUGAGCAAUAUUCUGUUUUUCAGAACAAACCAACAUAAAGAGACAGCUUUGCAAUAGUGUGCUGCGAAGCGUCGAAAAUCCUGGGUUGGAGGAACAGCAAAUCUCCAGUGGCUGAGUCAGACAAACUUCGUAAGGCCUCUCUCGCCCUUCUGCAGUAACCUCCUAACAUGCCCCAAAACAGCGCGCGUCACAGUGCAGGCAGAGCCAUUUCCUAGUUGUGGUGGCUUCCAACUCGCUCCAGUGUGUCAAGUGCGCGCUCUCACACACACACACACACACACCCCCCUUGGUUAUUUACCUGUUGUUGCCCUGGCCCAGAAGCUCCUGGCCAGGUUGAUAUUCGCAGGACUCCCUUUUCCACUUCAUGUUUCUGCUCAGAUGACAACUUCUUAGACCUUGUCAUCUGAAAAAUAGUCCAAUCCCAUCUCACCCCAAGUCUGGGCACUCCAUCUUUUACAGGUUUCAUCUUUCCUCACUCUCACUGCCUGAUAUAUUUUUUAUUCUUAUUUAUUACCUUUCUUUCCCACUAGAAUGUAAAUUCUAUGAGAGUAGGGACUUUGUUUUGUUAUAUCUCCACUGCCUCUAACAGCCCUUGGUGCACAGAAAAUAUACCAGGUAUGUAUUGAAUAACGAAAUAGGAACUUCCCCAGCAGUCCAGUGGCUGAGACUUUGCCUUCCAGUGCAGGGGUAUGAGUUUGAUCUGUGGCCAGGGAGCUAAGAUGCCACGUAAAACAGAGACAAUAUUAUAAUAAACUCAAUAAAGACUAAUAAUGGUCCAUAUAAAAAAAAAUCUUUUAGAAAAUGAAUAAAAUGAAUUAUUAUAGCCUUUGAACCCUCAGUUUCUUCAUCUGUAAUACCUCCUUUGUGGAAGGUCACAUAUAUUUGGUAUAAAGUUAACUGACCUAUGUUAUAAGCACUGAGUAGGUAGAACUAUAAUUGUGUAGAUCAGCACUGCCGAUACAAGUAUCACGCAAUUUAAUUUUAAAUUAAAAAACUAGAAGAAAAACAUUAAUUUUCAUAGUACAUUUUAUUUAAGCAACAUAUCCAAAAUAUUACCAUUUCAAUGUAUAAUGAGAGAUCUUAUAUUCUUUAUUUUAUAUUAAGUUUUUCAAAUUUGGAGUAUUGCCCACAACACUUGAGAGUGUGCCUCUCAGGUCACACUCUCAGGUCAUCUGGAGGGCUCAGAAGAAUAUCUGUAGUAACACGACUGUAGUCUGUCAACCCUUUAAUGACAGGUUUUGUCUGGAUCAUCUUUGUCAAGCACCCCCUCCCCAAUACCUUGCACAAUCCCCUCAAAACAGUAGAUGAUCAAAAAUACAUCAGUUCAGUUAGUUCAGUUCAGUCACUCAGUCGUGUCCGACUCUUUGCGACCCUAUGAAUCGCAGCACGCCAGGCCUCCCUGUCUAUCACCAACUCCCGGAGUUCACUCAGAC
rnacentral:lncRNA from 1 species